CAGGGAAUCAUUGAAUGGAAAAAUGAAGCCUAAGCACUUUCACACUCAGAUUCAUGGAAAAUGAAAAAAGGAAGGAGAUCUUUUUCAAAGCUGCUGCUCCUCGAAGAGUAUCUGAGCAUACACAGUGCCGCUACAUGAUGCCUUGGCUUCUGGGAUGGGCCUCACCAGAUCGAGCUCUGCAUAUGUCAGAUUCUCCUCCACUAUCUUCGGCUGAGGACGGGAAGAUGGAGGAAGACAAAGCCCAACAGUAAGCCUCCCUGCAAUGAUGACAGUGCUGUUUUCUUGACGUGAUGACAGAUGAAUAUUGAGGAACCAACUUCUCUAUUUUUCUGCUGCUUGACACAUCUGUGAUUUUUAACAUUGAGCAAUUUUGUAAUCCACACUUUUCAUGACAUGCAAGCUUUUUUUCUGCCACACAUUUCAAAAGCCUCUGAAGCUUGACCACACGAUUAAAUCACAGCCACUUACACCGUUUCGUCUUUCAUUGAGUUUGGGUGAC